AAACAGCUCCCUAUGUUUUGAUUCUUUGGCAGUUUUGGACCCCAAGGAAGAAAAAAGAAUGACAUGUGGCACCUCACUUAGGGUGCCACAUCAGCGUUGACCGAGUCAACAAUGGACUGGGGGUCCAAAACUACCAAAGAAUCAAAACAUAGGGGGCUAUUU
rnacentral:pre_miRNA from 1 species